ensembl:lncRNA CEROX1 cytoplasmic endogenous regulator of oxidative phosphorylation 1
GCCCCCGCCUGCCCCGCCCGGCGCCGCACCACGUGGGCCAGGCGCCCCACGCCUGGAGCUCCCCUCUCUGGAGCCCCGGGAAAGGAAGCGGGGCAGGGAGGCCGGGUGGGAGCAGGGGGGUCUCCGGCGCUUCCUCUCCUCUGCGGGCGCCGCGCGGCUCCUGAGAGUCCGCCCCCCGUCCUGACGCUCAGCUAGGAAGCGGGUCCUCGGGCCCCUCCCCCGACACACACACACACACACACACACACACACACACACACACACACUCUCUCUCUCUCUCUCUCUCUCUCUCUCUCUCUCUCUCUCUCUCACACACACACACACACACACAGCCCGUCUCGCGCCUGAGGUCUCGCCCGCAGGCCGGUGGCGCGGGGUCAGCUGCUGCCUGCGGUCCAGGACAGGGUCGGUUCCGCCGCGCAGCGCCCAGGCCCAGCUCGUCCAGAGUCUGCGGACAGCGCACGUCCAGGUAACGCGCUUCAAGGGGCCGCGGCUCGGAGCUGGGGGACCCCGGGCCGCCCUGCCCAUACGAGUGCGAGCGUGGAGAGCGCGGGCGGGGGCGCGGUCCCGGGGGCCGGCCAGCUGGAGGGGGCGGGAGCGCUGGGCGGGGCCUGCGCUGACCCCGGCGCUGAGUCCCUGGGGCCGCCGGGCGGAUGGCGUGGCCGGACGCGGGGGCCCCGGGCCUUCCGGGCGUGACCUAGGGCUCGGGGGCGGGGAGGCCCCUCCGGCGGGGCGGCCCUGGGUGGUCCGGCAGAGGCGGAGGCCGCUCCGAGCCUGUGAGCCCUGGGCGCCUGCGGAGGCGGGGAGAGGGCGGGGUGUGCCGCCCUGGUGGGGACCGCGGGGUCGGAGAGGGGACAUUGCCCCCCCCGAGGCGAACGUCCAACCGCGGGUCCGGGUCCCCGCCCAAGGCCGCCCCGCGAGGUGGCCUCGGCCCGGCCGUCCCCGAGGGUGGCUCGGAUCCUUUCAACCAGCGCGCUGGAGGCGAAGGGGCUGCGCCAUUCCGGGUCAGGCAGCCAACGCGGGACACGCGCGUCUCCGAGCUUGCGGCCCGCGAAACCCGGGUGACCUACCGCGCCGGUGCCCUCAAAGCCCCCACGCCCGGGCCGGUGGCCGCUGCAGCCACUGAGCCACGCGGUCUCCCCGGCCCGGUCGGCAGAAGGAGCUGGUCCGUUACUAGAAAAGUCCAGAUGCAAAGUCGGGGGUCGUGCUGCCGCUUCCUGCCAGCGCACCGCACCCACCUGGGGCCGCCACCGACCGCACAGGACGCGCCUCCUACCCCCUGUUCUGGCCCGGCCGAGAGCUGGUGCCCCCAGCGGCCGCCCGCCCCCGUCCGCAGACCCCGGGGCCCUUGCUGCUUUGCAUUGGGAACAACCGGAGCCAGGCCCGGAGCUGAGGGGGCCAGGGCCUUUGGAGGAAGCAUUGGCCUCCAGGCUGAAGAGCAAGGGCCGUGUCACCUGCCCGGAGGGCGGUCUCAUCUCUGCAGCCAGGUCAGAGGAAGCAGCGGUGGGGAGACGGAGUGCGCGAGUUGGGAGGCUCCACGCAUCGUAGGUGGAGAGCUGGCUGCCAGCCUGGCCUGCCCUCUCUUCCCCGUCCCACCAUCUCGCUUGGCUCCGGCACCUGCCUGGGAAGACCCACACCUCCGUCUGCAGUGCCUCUUCCCCCUGGAGGCCCUGCCCUCCGCUCGGGGUCCCCGCAUCCUUCCGUGGCCCUCAGAGCAUCGCCUGGGGCGCCCGCGGAACUCAUCUGUUAGGCCUGGGAUGCAGGCAGGCAGAAGUGGGGGUUUAAGUGGAAGCAGUGAGGGUGGGGGUCCGGUCCAAACUGUGCCACCUUCCACCCCCUGCCCCUGGGAGAGCAGACAUCGCCCACUCGGGCUCACAGUGCCAUCCGGGUGAGGACCUCCGUGGAGAGCUCUCUUUGCCAAAGAAAAGCAGUUGCAUUAGGUCUGCGAGCAGGCAGGGUGGCCUCUUCCUGGCUCCCCAUCCACCAAGGAAGCUUCAAGUCCCUGGGACACAGGCACUUUCCCACACAGGAUGGAGCCGGGCCACCCUCACAGCUCCUGCCCUGCAGACGCUGGCCUUGUGGAGGGAGGCAGGCAGCAGGAGCAGUGCUUUCUGGGCCUCUGUAGCCAGAGCUGGCCCUGCUGCAGCUUACGUCUGCCUGCAGCCCAGACGUCCUCCUGGUCCUCCUGAUGCCCCCGACCUCCACGGAGGACGAGCAUUUCCAGCCCAGCCCUCCCCAUCUUCACCUCGCACUCCCCUGACACACUGGGAGCCUCCUGAUCCGUGAACCCGCGCUGGCGGGAGUAGCUACUGACCGCUGGGGACCCCUGCCCAGGCUGUUCGCAUGUGGAAAGGAUUCAGGGAGCAGGCGAUGCCCAAAGCGUGGAGACCAGCACUGCUCUCUCCCCAGUGACAGGUGCACGCCCAGAUCACGGAUGUGUCGGGAACAGCUGUGCUCCUGCUGCUCAGCGUCCGUCACUCCAGGCUGGGAGCGGGUCCCCAAGCUUCUGGCUGGGCCUAUCCGUCUCCACUCUCAGUGUGGGGGUGGGGGGCGCCAACAGCACGCAUUUGCUCUCUGCACUUCUCGUCUGAUAAUGGGCAGAGGGUCCUUCUGCAGCCCCAAAACAUCCCUAGGCAGGAGCCCUGGGGCCCCAAGCAGCCAGGGAGGUGAGCACCAAGGACCUCCCAGAGAGCGUCACCUUCCGUCGAGGGAGGCCCAGCCUGGGGGCGGUGUCUGAGACUUGGAAUCAACGCUUCCGUUGGUGGCAGUAAAUCCUGUCCCUAACCCUGCAGUACAGCUGUGCCGUGUACAGGAGGGUGCUGUCUGACGCCAGACACCUGGACUACAGAUCGCAGCCUGAUUCCUGGUCAUUGCUCCACUGAACCCCAGACCCCAGCCUCGUUCUGGGCCCUCAUCCCCUAGAUCCAGGGACCCCAGCCCCAUUUCAGCCCUUGGGCCCUUGUAGGAUGCGAGGCCCUGGGCCCCAGCCCCCAGCCCAUCCGUGGCCCAGGCACUGGGGGGCUGAGGUCCUCUGAGAAGGGACACAGGGCCUGGGGGGCUCUCUCAGCCCAUCAGCAGGAGAGGACUGACUCCAGAAAAAUCAGCGUUUGUACCCACUCAGGCUGCCAAGACCUGUGUCCGUCCUUCCAAGCUCAACCUUCAGAGUUCAUGAGGCCCCUUGCCCAGAAUGUCCACAGAGUUCAUGAGGCCCCUUGCCCGGAAUGUCCACAUUUGAAACCUCCCAACACCGAGCCCCAUUUCAAGUAUAACCAGGAGGGAAAAUGGUGCUUGAAAUAAGCAUGCCACAAAGGAAAACCUGCUUUCUCGAAAUGGGCCCUGGCCGCCCAGGCCCUGACCUCCCCGGCCAGGAUGGAACGUUCCAGAGACCCAUUAGUGCCAAAGGCAAAUGAAAACACACCCUGUGAAAAUGUC